UACGUAGGGUGCGAGCGUUGUCCGGAAUUACUGGGCGUAAAGAGCUCGUAGGUGGUUUGUCGCGUUGUUCGUGAAAACUCACAGCUUAACUGUGGGCGUGCGGGCGAUACGGGCAGACUGGAGUACUGCAGGGGAGACUGGAAUUCCUGGUGUAGCGGUGGAAUGCGCAGAUAUCAGGAGGAACACCGGUGGCGAAGGCGGCUCUCUGGACAACAACUGACACUGAGGCACGAAAGCGUGGGGAGCAAACAGG
rnacentral:rRNA from 1 species